UGGAGGUCGUGGUGGGGGAUCCCAAGGAGAAGAUCUUCUAGGUGACGGCGGAACUCAAGGCUCAUCUGCUCAUCAUGGGGUGUUGGGCAUUUGGACCUGUCAAAAGGGAAGUGGCGCCCAGAUGCAAGGGUGGCGAGCACUCUACACUCCUCAGGCAUGGCUGACUGGCACCUACUAUGCAAGUUCGCCUCUCCAGGAAUUUCCAGAGGCUGCCCCAGCCGGAUCUGGCAAACAGGGAGACCAAACCAAAACAAUGUGAUCUCGGUGGCCCUGUGGUUGAUUGGCUAGGGCGCGAGGGCUUGUGUUGGCACCUAUAUAAGCACAAGGAGCAUGCUGUGAUCCGUUUCUAGAUUGCAUAGCAACAAUUACAUCUUGGCCAGAUUUCUAGAUACAUAGAAUCUAGAUAAAGUUGAGUCAACUAAUAUGGAUCAGAUAGAGUAUAUAAAUAUUACAUUUUGCCAUGUCGACAAUUA